rnacentral:piRNA from 1 species
UAAAGAGCCAGAUGGUCAGGAUGAUG